AACGAACGCUGGCGGCAUGCCUAACACAUGCAAGUCGAACGAGACCCCUGACUUCGGUUGGUAGGUCUAGUGGCGCACGGGUGCGUAACGCGUGGGAAUCUGCCCUUGGGUUCGGAAUAACUCAGAGAAAUUUGAGCUAAUACCGGAUGAUGACGAAAGUCCAAAGAUUUAUCGCCCAGGGAUGAGCCCGCGUAAGAUUAGCUUGUUGGUGGGGUAAUGGCCUACCAAGGCGACGAUCUUUAGCUGGUCUGAGAGGAUGGAUCAGCCACACUGGGACUGAGACACGGCCCAGACUCCUACGGGAGGCAGCAGUGGGGAAUAUUGGACAAUGGGCGCAAGCCUGAUCCAGCAAUGCCGCGUGAGUGAUGAAGGCCUUA
rnacentral:rRNA from 1 species